rnacentral:lncRNA from 1 species
CUUAUUUUAUUUACUCAACUAUUCUCGUUUAAUUACAUAUUAACUUUGAUAUUUUAUUGAAAUUUAUCAUUUAAAAAGCGAAAUUAUUCAUAUCGUUUUGCAAUUUCGAAUCGUUGAAAGAAAAACUGCGAAAAAUAGUGAAAAUCGAGUUGUUUAUGCCUCGCACCGGUAAAUCUGACGCAAGUAAUUUUUAUAAAAAGGAACCUACAUUCAGUUGAAACGUGUUUAGGUACUAAAGUAACUGGACCAUGAAGGAACAAGACAUUUCCCAUAUGUGAUUUUUCCCUCAUUAUUAUUCCAACUAAAAAUUUUUCUCGUCAAAAAAUCGUUAACAGUGGUCAGUUCGAACCACGUAAAGUUUUAGCUUACUUCAAAUUUUCAUCUGGUCCGUACAACGUUUCAUGGAAAGGUUGAGACGUGGUUGAGUGGAUUCAAUUAAAGAUACGCGAUCUUAUACGCGUGGACGCAGAAUAAUAAAUCUGGAAAAGACGAGGAAGCAGGCAACGCCCUCGGGAAAAAGGAUGGAAAAGGAUGGAAGGGUGGAGGGGUGGCCUGAUCGGAGACGACAACCACGCAGGGAUGGAACCGAGCGGAGCGAACCGAGGGAGGAUCGAGGGAGAUCAAAAUCGAAGAAAAAGAAGGGAGACACACUGUUGGCUUCAAAUCAAGGACCAGACGAACCGGUCUACCCAUCCGUGAGAUGCGUCUAAUUUUUUUCCCCGUUCUUCUACCUUUCUCUCUUUUUUUUUUUCUUUUUCCAUUUCUUUUCCUCUCUUUCUCUCUCUGCCUCUGCCUUUCUCUUUCUUUUUACUAUACAGGGUGUUUCUAAGACAGGUGGUAUAAACAGGAAGAGAGUGAUUUUAUAUACGAUAAAGAAUAAUAAAGAACGUAAGAAUAAACAUAAGUUACGUUCAAGAUUUUGAAUAAAUCAAGUAUUGAAUUCUCGAGAGAUUAUUCUGUACAUGUAAAAGUAAAUAAAAAGCGUCGAUCAAAUUUUAUAUUUUCGUUUUUUAAGAAACUCGAAAUUCAACGUACACAUAUAUAUUUAGAUAUAAGAUCAAGAAAUAAUAAGAAUAAUUAUUUAAAAAUCAUCUGAUCGAUUUCGAUAAUCUUGAAAUAUGUUAUGUGUCAAUGGAUCUUCAGUUUUCGAGAUAUUGGAAAAAUAUUUUUUAUUCCGUUUGUCAUAUAUAAAAUGUUAACGUGUUCACGAUGUUUUGAAAGAUAGAAGAUUGAAGUACAUAGAAAUGUCGGUUAAAGCUUAUUUAUUAAAUUACAAGUAAUUGAAGUUUGAGUUACACAAUAACUCUUAUAUCACCCACUCUCCAACAUUCGUAGGUAUACGUUAGCCUGAAGGCUUCCUUUACGUGUCCUUUUCUUUCAUAGCAUCUUACUUUUUCGUCAACGCUUCUUUUCAUCUUACAAACAUGCCCGCAGGUGCCUGGUUGGGGACUGUCCAGAAAUCUUGCCCGUGAGCCCUGAUUUCCUACCGACUACCUUGUCCACUUUCUCUUUCUCUCUCCCUCUCCCUCCCUCUCUCUCUCUCACUCCCUCUCUUUUUCUCUCUCUCUCUCUCUUUUUUUCUCAUCACGCAAUCCUUUCGAUCCGGCUAUGGCAAAGGAGGUGUUAACUGGAAGGAAUAAUUCCGCAUGUAAGUGUCGCUACUAUCGAACAGAGGGAGCCUGUGAAUUGGCGUGGAAAGAAUAACAAGGAUUUUAAUGUAGGAAGUAUUCAAUGUAUCUUCGCUUAGCAAUCAUUUCAAGGACGGAGAAAAAAGUAGACAUUGGAGAAAGUAGAGAGAAUCGAUAUGAUUGCAUCUGAAAGGAAAAAAAUGAACGUUAAUGCUCACAACAACGGCAAACCUGUGAUUAGCACUACUCAUGUGUGGCACAUUCUUCAGCUACCGGUUAAUUAUCUUUCAUUGUAACUCGCUCAAUUUUUUUAAAACCGGUUCGAGUUGCCUCACUUCUCUGCCCACGAUGCAAAUUAUCAACUCGAAUAAUAUACAUUUUCUUAAGUUACUUUAUAUCCUCGUUGGUAUUAUGACUUCGAUAUUAAAAUAUUUUUCUUUUUUUUUUUUUUUUUUUUUUUUCGUUAA